ensembl:lncRNA
GUCAGCUACUCCGCGCCGCCCCUCGCCGUCUCCAUCUCGCUGGGGUCCGCCGCCGCCCGCCCCCCGGCUAGGGCCCCGACGCCGGCCAGCGCUUCUCGGUCCCUCAAGACUCGGCGGCCCGGCGACGUCUGCGCUCGGCCCCGCGGGAUGAGCCGGACGAAUCAACUUUCAAGGGAAGACGCGGCGGGGUCUCCCCGGCACCGCUCUGUCCCCCGCGGGUCCGAGACCCUGGGGCCGCGCGGAAGACCGGGAGGGCCCCUGCGCGCUGGGCGCCGGGCGGCCUGCGGGCGAAGCGAGGAGCUGACACCUCCGGGCGCCGCCGCCCGUCCCCCGCGGCUCUCCCCGCCCGCCGACUCCCGCCCCCGCCCCGCGCGGCUCACACAGCCAGGCCGGAGGGUGCGGCGGGCGGCGGGGCGCGGAAAGCACAUUACGCGAGAGCGGCGCGGGGCGCAGGGGAGGGGGCGCGCCGUCCUGCCCAGCGCGCGCCGCCGUCACCCAGGCGGAUGCGGAGAACAAGUGAGCAGCCGGAGGAGAAGCCGAGCCGCCGCCGGGGGUGGGGCGGCCCCGCGCACAGCCUCCCUACGGCCGCCACACCUGUGCGGGAAGCCGCGUGCGCCCCGCGGCCGCUUUACAUAAGCCUCGGUGCUACGGCCGCGGGGGAGGGAAAGGGCCCGGCGGGAGGCGCGCACCCCCUUGCCUACUGUUCGGGUAAAGCGGGGCCCUAGAGCCAAGUAUCCGGAUGACGGGCCGGGACUCGCUCCAGGGCGGGGUGGGCGGUUUGUGAGUGUUUGUUUUGGGUGAGGAGGCAGAGAGUCCAAUUACCCAGUUUAUCUACAAUACACAGACCCAGUUCGUGACAGACUGGCUCAACAGUGGGCUCUGCUAUGGGGGAGGUAUUAUCAGAUGGUUUAACCUAAUAGGAACGUGUUAUGUGGGUGUGACACCCCCAGACCUGACACAGGGGCAUCCGAACAAUGUACACGCUAACCUGUGCACACAUGCAUAAUUUACACAUCGCCACCACACCGUCCACCCGGAAAUGGUCAUAUCCACAGAGAAACUGACAAAUGCACAGUUUGGCGGACACACAGCCAGCCAGAGACAGAAGUGGAAGGGCAAACACGUGAGUGGUCCCUUCCACAUCAUCCUUCUUUACACACCUUAGGAAGGGAAAACCUGGGUACCAAAUCUGGGCCCUCCAGCACCAACCCACAGGGCUUGACAAAUAAUUCUUUCAAGACCGGCAAUGGCCUUAUCAGGCCAGCAGUCUGCAGUAACAGAGGUGCCCCUGAGGCCGGUGAGCCGCCUGGUGUGAGGAACUGCAGGCUUCUGGGGUCCCCCUAUGCAGUUCUCCUGAACAGAGCCAAGUCUUGAAACACUCAGGCCUGGGAAUCUGACAGACCUGGAUUUAAAUUCUGACUCUAAAAGAAUUUAGAGUCUUACUUACUUACUCUGAACUUCAGUUUCCUUAUUUUGUUUAGAUUAAACUUUGUAUUUUGAGAUAAAUUGUGGAUUCCCUCGCGGUUGUAAGAUAUAACACCUUUUACCCAACUUCCCUCAAUGGUAACAUCUUGCAAAAUGUAUAGUAUAAUAAUAUCCUAACCAGAAUAUGGAAGUUAUCAGUCAAGAUACAGAA